GACGAACGCUGGCGGCGUGCUUAACACAUGCAAGUCGAGCGGUAAGGCCCUUUCGGGGGUACACGAGCGGCGAACGGGUGAGUAACACGUGGGUGACCUGCCCUUAGCUCUGGGAUAAGCCCGGGAAACUGGGUCUAAUACCGGAUACGACUCCGCGGUGCAUGCUGUGGGGUGGAAAGCCUUGUGCGGCUGGAGAUGGGCCCGCGGCCUAUCAGCUUGUUGGUGGGGUGAUGGCCUACCAAGGCGACGACGGGUAGCCGGCCUGAGAGGGCGACCGGCCACACUGGGACUGAGACACGGCCCAGACUCCUACGGGAGGCAGCAGUGGGGAAUCUUGCGCAAUGGGCGAAAGCCUGACGCAGCGACGCCGCGUGAGGGAUGAC
rnacentral:rRNA from 1 species